rnacentral:rRNA from 1 species
AGUGAACGCUGGCGGUAGGCCUAACACAUGCAAGUCGAACGGCAGCACAGUAAGAGCUUGCUCUUACGGGUGGCGAGUGGCGGACGGGUGAGGAAUACAUCGGAAUCUACUUUUUCGUGGGGGAUAACGUAGGGAAACUUACGCUAAUACCGCAUACGACCUACGGGUGAAAGCAGGGGAUCUUCGGACCUUGCGCGAUUGAAUGAGCCGAUGUCGGAUUAGCUAGUUGGCGGGGUAAAGGCCCACCAAGGCGACGAUCCGUAGCUGGUCUGAGAGGAUGAUCAGCCACACUGGAACUGAGACACGGUCCGGACUCCUACGGGAGGCAGCAGUGGGGAAUAUGGGACAAUGGGCGCAAGCCUGAUCCAGCCAUACCGCGUGGGUGAAGAAGGCCUUCGGGUUGUAAAGCCCUUUUGUUGGGAAAGAAAAGCAGCAGGUUAAUACCCCGCUGUUCUGACGGGACCCAAAGAAUAAGCACCGGCUAACUUCGU